rnacentral:tRNA from 1 species
GCCGGAGUGGCGGAACGGCAGACGCUGCGGUCUUAAAAACCGCUGGGGGCAACCCCGUACGGGUUCGAGUCCCGUCUUCGGCACCA